ensembl:misc_RNA 7SK 7SK RNA
GGAUGUGAGGGCGAUCUGGCUGCGACAUCUGUCACCCCAUUGAUCGCCAGGGUUGAUUCGGCUGAUCUGGCUGGCUAGGCGGGUGUCCCCCUCCUCCCUCACCGAUCCAUGCCAUGUGCGUCCCUCCCGAAGCUGCGCGGUCGGUCGAAGAAGACGACCUUCCCCCCCAGGAGAGGACAGGUCUUCGGUCAAGGGUAUACGAGUAGCUGCGCUCCCCUGCUAGAACCUCCAAACAAGCUCUCAAGAAUUUCAUCCCUGAGUGUGUAUUUCAGAGACACACUUGCCUACAUGGGCCAGAAAACUCGAACAAGAACCUUCACUGCAUCAUCAUUU